rnacentral:rRNA from 1 species
UGGGGAAUAUUGGACAAUGGGGGAAACCCUGAUCCAGCGACGCCGCGUGUGUGAAGAAGGCCUGCGGGUUGUAAAGCACUUUCGGUGGGAACGAAAUAUGCCGGGCUAAUACCCCGGUAGGCUGACGUUACUCAAUGAAGAAGCACCGGCUAACUCUGUGCCAGCAGCCGCGGUAAUACAGAGGGUGCGAGCGUUAAUCGGAAUUACUGGGCGUAAAGCGCACGUAGGUGGCGACGUAAGUCGGGUGUGAAAGCCCCGGGCUCAACCUGGGAACCGCAUUCGAGACUGCAUUGCUGGAGUACGGAAGAGGAGGGCGGAAUUCCCGGUGUAGCAGUGAAAUGCGUAGAUAUGUGGAGGAAUACCGAUGGCGAAGGCAGCCCCCUGGGAUAACACUGACGCUCAUGCACGAAAGCGUGGGGAGCAAACAGGAUUAGAUACCCAAGUAGUCCCUGAGCGGGCUGGCAAGGCGCAU